GGCAUUCUCAGUAGUGCGCACAAAGCCUUGCAAUGCAUUCGUUCUCCGGAACUCUGUGGCUACUUUUGCUUGUUUCAGUCAGCGCGGUGCCUGAAUACUGUGACAAUGGCACCGGCGAAUGCAAGGAGUUGACUCCUUCCGACUGUCCAGUAAUUUUCUACAACCAACACCUGAUUGGACCGGAAGUCAAGUAUUGCGACGAGUUUAACGAUAUUGUAUGCUGUCCUAUACCCCUGGAUCAUCAGAAUCGAAAACCUGUUGAACAGACAAGGCCAUAUGAGAAGCAGUGCAAGCAGUACAACGAGGCCAGAGCCGCAUGUCAAUCCACGCCCUUCAUUGUGGGCGGCACAAAGGCGUCAGGUCGGGAAUUCCCCUUCAUGGCCCUGAUCGGUACCCAUCGUUUUAACAAGACCGACAUCAGUUGGGACUGUGGUGGGGGUUUGGUGCAUCCCAGGUUCAUACUGACAGCGGCACAUUGCCUGGAGACGGAUGAAACAAAGGCCGAAAGGUUGGACCCAAACUUCGAUUCUCCAAAGUUUGUUGUUCGUCUGGGGGAUUUGGAUUACAACAGUACUACAGAUGAUGCCCAAAUUCAGGACUUUCGGGUGGUCAACUAUGUGGUCCACCCAGGCUACGAUACUGAGGACGAAGAGCAGGGUUAUAAAAACGACAUUGCUCUGUUGGAACUUGAUCGGGAUGCUAUGUUUAAUGACCAUGUGGCGGCAGUAUGUCUGCCUCCUAGCAGCGGAAAUGAGAAUGAACAGGUGACAGCCGCCGGCUGGGGAUUCACCGCGGAGGGGGUGAAGUCCUCUCACCUUCUGAAGGUCAGUCUGCAGCGAUUCACCGACGAGGAGUGCCAGAAGCGCUUGCGUUUCAGCAUCGACACACGCACCCAGUUCUGCGCAGGUUCGAUGACCACCGAGGCGGACACCUGCAAUGGCGACUCCGGCAGUCCCAUCUUUGUGCAGCAUCCGCUCUAUCCGUGCUUAAAGCAGGUGAUCGGUAUCGUUUCUUACGGAUUGGUUUGUGGCUCCCGAGGUCUGCCCAGUGUCUACACCAAAGUUCACCUCUUCACGGAUUGGAUCGAAAGCAUUGUGUGGGGCCAUUGAUUGUCACAAAUCCUUCUAAGAAGCCAACAACGAUAUAAUAAGCAAAUAAAAAUCUGUAAUAAUUGGGCCUUAUCCAUCCGAAAAUCGUAAUUUAAAUGGAAUUAGUGGCCAUUUCUCCGGAUUAAGCUAAUGAGCUAUAACACUACAUACUUAGUAAAACCAACAUGGGCAUUUUAAAAACUAUUAAGCCAUGGCCGCGUUUAGAUGGACAGCAGUGCUUUUACUAAUAUUAUCAUUUACAGUCGUUAAGGUAUGUUGCAAGUUUGAGUUUACCAAUAUAAACUGUACUUCCUUGGACCCAGAGUUUAUGGAUGUAGCCGAAUGUUUCUUGAAGUCUGCAAAUCGCACCUAUAAAUACUUAACACUGAAGACAAGGUUCUAUAAAUUGCCCAUAAAUAAUAUAAUGAUAAGAGUGAAAGUGCUCAAGAGACUGAAUGGAUAUAAACCCUUUCUGUAUGACUUUACUUUGAACGGCUGCAAAUACCUUAGUGGAAAACAGAAUCAGUUGAUACAAUUUUUCUACGAUAUGUUUGCUCCAUAUUCAAAUGUUAACCACACUUGCCCUUACAAUCAUGAUGUUUAUGUAGAAAAGUUGCCAAUUAGCUAUCUGGAUCAUAGAGUGACUGUUGUCCUUCCAGUCCCAGAAGGACACUACUGCAUUCACAGCAUUUUUUCUACCGAAAAAAGAGCAGUCUUUGAUUUAAAAGUUUAUUUUCAGAUAUCUUAAUCAGAAACCAAAAAUGAGCAAUUUUAUUUAUUUUGAUUGAAAAAAUCAUAGACUUAUAAAUCAUAAGUUAUGAUAAUCUAAACAUACUGGAAAAAAAACCGAAAACAAGUUAAUGAGGCCUAUUUGUUUGCGCUAUGACGUUAGAAUGUCUUACUUUUUUAAAAAUGGUGAAAACAUUAAGAAAUUGAUCAAGAACAUUAAUAAAACAAUAAAAAAUCAUCUAAAACAAAACAUA